AAGAUGGUGAACUAUGCCUGAGCAGGGUGAAGCCAGGGGAAACUCUGGUGGAGGCUCGUAGCGAUACUGACGUGCAAAUCGUUCGUCAGACUUGGGUAUAGGGGCGAAAGACUAAUCGAACCAUCUAGUAGCUGGUUCCCUCCGAAGUUUCCCUCAGGAUAGCUAGAGUCUUUAUCAGUUUUGUCAGGUAAAGCGAAUGAUUAGAGGUUCCGGGGAAGUAACUUCCUCGACCUAUUCUCAAACUUUAAAUGGGCAAGAUCCAGUAGUUACUUAAUUGAACUAUUGGGGUCAAUGAGACGACUCUAAGUGGGCCAUUUUUGGUAAGCAGAACUGGCGAUGAGGGAUGAACCUAACGCUCGGUUAAGGUGCUAAACUGCUCGCUCAUCAGAUACCACAAAGGGUGUUGGUCGAUCUUAACAGCAGGACGGUGGUCAUGGAAGUCGAAAUCCGCUAAGGAGUGUGUAACAACUCACCUGCCGAAUCGACUAGCCCCGAAAAUGGAUAGCGCUGAAGCGAGUGACCGAUACCGGGCCAUUGUUGCAAGAUAAUUGGCAACAAUGAGUAGGAGGGCGUGGGGGUUGUGAAGAAGCUUGGACGUGAGUCUGAGUGAAACAGCUUCCAGUGCAGAUCUUGGUGGUAGUAGCAAGUAUUCAAUAAGAGAACAUUGAAGGCCGAAGUGGGGAAGGGUUCCAUGUGAACAGCACUUGGACAUGGGUUAGCCGAUCCUGAGAGACAGGUUAAAUUCCAUCGGAUUGGAGCUUUGGCUCUGUUUCUCGAAAGGGAAGCUGGUUAGUAUUCCAGCGCCGAGACGUGGAUAAUAUGUGGCAACACAAGUGAACUCGGACACGCCAUAGGGGACCCCAGGAAGCGUUGUCUUUUCUUUUUAACAGUCGACUAC
rnacentral:ncRNA from 1 species